GGCUGAGAGAUCAGCUGUUCCCUUCGGGGACAGAAUGACAGGUGGUGCAUGGUUGUCGUCAGCUCGUGUCGUGAGAUGUUGGGUUAAGUCCCGCAGCGAGCGCAACCCUUAUGAUCAGUUGCCAGCAUUCAGUUGGGCACUCUGGUCAGACUGCCGGUGACAAACCGGAGGAAGGCGGGGAUGACGUCAAAUCAUCAUGCCCCUUAUGACCUGGGCUACACACGUGCUACAAUGGGUGGUACAACGAGCAGCGAGACCGCGAGGUCAAGCGAAUCUCUAAAAACCAUCCUCAGUUCGGAUUGCAGGCUGUAACUCGCCUGCAUGAAGCUGGAAUCGCUAGUAAUCGCGGAUCAGCACGCCGCGGUGAAUACGUUCCCGGGUCUUGUACACACCGA
rnacentral:rRNA from 1 species